rnacentral:sRNA from 1 species
UGAAUCAACAUGCCACAUGGCGGUAGUC